UACGUAGGGGGCAAGCGUUGUCCGGAUUUAUUGGGCGUAAAGAGCGUGUAGGCGGCCAGGUAGGUCUGCUGUGAAAACUCGAGGCUCAACCUCGAGACGUCGGCGGAAACCAUCUGGCUAGAGUCCGGAAGAGGAGAGUGGAAUUCCUGGUGUAGCGGUGAAAUGCGCAGAUAUCGGGAGGAACACCAGCGGCGAAGGCGGCACUCUGGGCUGGAACUGACGCUGAGGAGCGAAAGCGUGGGUAGCAAACGAGG
rnacentral:rRNA from 1 species